ACGGGUGAGUAAUGCCUAGGAAUCUGCCUGGUAGUGGGGGACAACGUUUCGAAAGGAACGCUAAUACCGCAUACGUCCUACGGGAGAAAGCAGGGGACCUUCGGGCCUUGCGCUAUCAGAUGAGCCUAGGUCGGAUUAGCUAGUUGGUGGGGUAAUGGCUCACCAAGGCGACGAUCCGUAACUGGUCUGAGAGGAUGAUCAGUCACACUGGAACUGAGACACGGUCCAGACUCCUACGGGAGGCAGCAGUGGGGAAUAUUGGACAAUGGGCGAAAGCCUGAUCCAGCCAUGCCGCGUGUGUGAAGAAGGUCUUCGGAUUGUAAAGCACUUUAAGUUGGGAGGAAGGGCAGUAAGUUAAUACCUUGCUGUUUUGACGUUACCGACAGAAUAAGCACCGGCUAACUCUGUGCCAGCAGCCGCGGUAAUACAGAGGGUGCAAGCGUUAAUCGGAAUUACUGGGCGUAAAGCGCGCGUAGGUGGUUUGUUAAGUUGGAUGUGAAAGCCCCGGGCUCAACCUGGGAACUGCAUCCAAAACUGGCAAGCUAGAGUACGGUAGAGGGUGGUGGAAUUUCCUGUGUAGCGGUG
rnacentral:rRNA from 7 species